rnacentral:lncRNA from 1 species
CAAACAUUCUUCAUUAUUAAAUUAUUAAAAUUAGAAGUGUGAUUUAUGACUAUGUUUAUCCUCACAAACUAUUUGGAGACUUGAAGCCCUAAGUUUCACGAUAAGGUCUCCCUGCACUCUCUUGGUUUCCAACAGCUAAAUGAAAUUAAUUUUGUAAUGACCCAAGACCUCAUUCGAAAAGGCUAGUUGAAAUAUAUUAUUUAGAUUCUUUAGCCCUAUAUAAAUAUUCAAAAUCUUUCUAGUGAAUAAUUGAUAAUGAACAAAUACAUGCCUGCAC